GAUGAACGCUGGCGGCGUGCCUAAUACAUGCAAGUCGAGCGACCAGACGAUGAGCUUGCUCCUCUGACGUUAGCGGCGGACGGGUGAGUAACACGUGGAUCACCUACCUCUAUUACUUGGAUAACUUCGUGAAACCGGUUCUAAUACCACAUAAUAUAUUGUACCGCAUGGUUCAAUAGUUCAAGACGGUUUUGCUGUCACUUAUAGAUGGAUCCGCGCUGCAUUAGCUAGUUGGUAAGGUAACGGCUUACCAAGGCAACGAUGCGUAGCCGAUCUGAGAGGGUGAUCGGCCACACUGGAACUGAGACACGGUCCAGACUCCUACGGGAGGCAGCAGUAGGGAAUAUUGGGCAAAGGGCGAAAGCCUGACGGAGCAACGCCGCGUGAGUGAAGAAGGUCUUCGGAUCGUAAAACCCUGUUAUUAGGGAAGAAAAAAUGUGGAAGAAAAUAUGCACGUCUUGACGGUACCUAAUCAGAAAGCAACGGCUAACUACGUG
rnacentral:rRNA from 1 species